rnacentral:rRNA from 1 species
AUUGAACGCUGGCGGCAGGCCUAACACAUGCAAGUCGAGCGCGCGGCGGACGGGUGAGUAAUGUAUGGGGACUGCCCGAUAGAGGGGGAUAACUACUGGAAACGGUAGCUAAUACCGCAUACUAUCGGAUAAUCCACAUGGGAUUAGCUAGUAGGUGAGGUAAUGGCUCACCAAGGCGACGAUCCCGAGCUGGUCUGAGAGGAUGAUCAGCCACACUGGAACUGAGACACGGCCCAGACUCCUACGGAGGCAGCAGUGGGGAAUAUUGCACAAUGGGCGCAAGCCUGAUGCAGCCAUGCCGCGUGUGUGAAGAAGGCCCUCGGGUUGUAAAGUACUUUCAGUCGGGAGGCGUUACCGACAGAAGAAGCACCGGCUAACUCCGUGCCAGCAGCCGCGGUAAUUC